rnacentral:lncRNA from 1 species
GUGGGAUAAUUGUAGGAUAGGCUACUCACAUAAAUUAGACAAUUUUCAAUUAGAGGCUGCCAUAAUAGUAAUCGGUCUACCAAUGUUUACUUAAACUGAAACUAUAUUCUGAGGUUGGCUGGGAAUCUCUUUUUGAAAGAAGAAUAUUACAGAAGUUUUAUAACAUGAACCAAAGGCAUGCACCAGAGUACCUAUGUAAUCUUGUUCCUCGAUGUAUACAAAGUACAACCAACUAUCCGUUGCAAAAUGGUCAUGAUAGUAUUGAUCCAUUGUGUAGACUAGCCCUUACUACUGAAUCGUUUAUUCCCUUAUUCUUUUAACAGUUAGAUACAAAACUGUUAAUUUGCGGACACUUGGAACUUUCGAACGAACAAAAUAUUCAACUUUUCAAACAUGUUCAAAAUUUCAUAAAUGGUCAAACAGAUUUUAUGCCUUGAUAGAGCGUUAUUGGUACUGGCACAAAACAUCAUCGUCAUCAUCAUAGAUUUGUUUGACUUUUCAAACUUUCUUUUUCCCUUUUUUCUUUCUCUCCUCUUUUUAAUUUUGAAAGGUAGUUAUAUAUUCUAUAAACGGUUUGCUUUAUCUGCAUGUCCAUUAGUAUAUUAUUGUAAUUUUAUAUUGUAUUACGGAGAAGACUUCAUAAGUAUGAUUUACUUGUGUCUUAUCCAUUUUGCUUUCAGCAAAUAAAAUAUGUUUAAACUAGUCUUUUGUAGGCGCGUCACUGAUGAGUCUUUUGUAGCGCAAAUACAAAAUGUCAAUCCUGGUAUCUAUUAUAACUUUAUUUGUGAGUUAAUAGUUUAAACUAAAUCAAUGCAUGUGAAAUAGAUUGGUUUCUGCAAUGUUGUGGUCUUGGCAUCAGUUUUAUUAUAAUAUUAUAAUUAUUUUGAAUCAACUAAAUUUUUCUAAAAUAAAUGAAAUACAGUAGGAGGGUUCUGUUAAGUAAAA